AUGAACGUGGCGCUGCUAUCAAAAUGGUGGUGGAAGCUAGCGGCUAAGGAAGAGGGUCUGUGGGCAGACCUUCUGCGGGCCAAAUACCUCCCGGACGGGGAUGUAUUUAACGCCAAGGCUUCGGGCUCGCCGUUUUGGAAUGGGAUCCAGGCGGUUAGACCAGCCUUCUCGCUGGGGGCGAGAUUUGAGGUGAAUAGCGGCAACUCGACUAGGUUCUGGUUGGAUCGCUGGUUGGGUGACAAGCCGCUUUGGCCGGAGUUCCCGCAGUUAUAUCAGGUGACGGCGGACCCGCUACUUAGGGUGGGAGAGGCUCUUCGCGCUACGCCGCCUUUGAUUAACUUUCGGAGACAGUUGAAUGCGGCGGAAUUAGCAAGUUGGGGCUUGCUUCAGGCGCGGCUGGAACAAAUUUCGGUAAAUCAUGAUGAAGGUACGGUUUCUUGGGACCUCUCCGUGUCUCGGAAAUUCUCAGUGAAGUCCCUUUACAAUAAACUGACAGAGGGCACUGCGUUGGAUACUGUCAGGAACCUUUGGAAGGCUAGGGUGCCGUUAAAGAUUAAGAUCUUUAUGAGGCAGUUAUUUCGCAAUAGGCUUCCGACGGCGGAGAACGUAGCUAAACGGAAUGGGCCUUCGGACGGGACGUGCGUGGUAUGUGAAUCGCUAGAGGACGCGAACCACGCCAUGUUCCAAUGCGUUCUGGCCCGCUUUGCCUGGAGCGCGGUGCGACAGGUUUUCCAACAGAAUUGGAAUCCUAGCACUGGGUCUGAGCUGCUGGCUAUUUUACAGGCACAGAGGGGUGCCAAGGCCAGGAUCUUGUGGACCUGCGUAGGGGCCUUACUCUGGUCCCUUUGGACUGUGCGUAAUAAAAUGACUAUGGAACAUAAGUUUCCUUCCAAUCCUACUGAUGUUAUCUUCAAAUGCCAUUUAUUUUUACAGAGUUGGGCACCGCUGGGGAAGCAAGGUGAUGCAGACCAUUUGAAGAGCACUAUGGAGAAGAUCGCUACAUGUAUCCCAAGGCUGCGGCAAGCGAAUUGA
rnacentral:rRNA from 1 species